rnacentral:rRNA from 1 species
AACGUAGGGUGCAAGCGUUGUCCGGAAUUACUGGGUGUAAAGGGAGUGCAGGCGGACCGGCAAGUUGGAAGUGAAAACUAUGGGCUCAACCCAUAAAUUGCUUUCAAAACUGCUGGCCUUGAGUAGUGCAGAGGUAGGUGGAAUUCCCGGUGUAGCGGUGGAAUGCGUAGAUAUCGGGAGGAACACCAGUGGCGAAGGCGACCUACUGGGCACCAACUGACGCUGAGGCUCGAAAGCAUGGGUAGCAAACAGG